rnacentral:lncRNA from 1 species
UCUGCCUGCUCAGGUGAGACUGUACAGCAUACAAGCUCAAGCACAACGAACGAAGCUCAUUCCUCUGCGAUCCCUCACAUCGGAGGGCUGCUCCCCUCCUCCCCGGUCCGGGACUUGCCAGCCCAGCCCAGGUCUCCUCGGCCACUUUUCACCCGGCCUGGGGCGCCUCUCCCCUCAGCCCGGGGGUCCCGCUGGCGCCCGGCGGCUUCCUCUCCUCCAUCCCUUUCCUCCGCGGCCCGGGUCUCCCCUCCGCCCCCGGUCUCCUCAGGCUAGCCUCCGGCCGGGACCCUCCACCCCGUCCUCUCCUCAGUCCGGGUCUCCCCUCUCUCGCGUCGCCCUCAGCCAAUCCCCCGCCCGGCCCGGCGCGCCAGCGGCUCACCCGCAGACUCCCC